AGUGAACGCUGGCGGUAGGCCUAACACAUGCAAGUCGAACGGCAGCACAGUGAGAGCUUGCUCUUACGGGUGGCGAGUGGCGGACGGGUGAGGAAUACAUCGGAAUCUACUUUUUCGUGGGGGAUAACGUAGGGAAACUUACGCUAAUACCGCAUACGACCUACAGGUGAAAGCAGGGGAUCUUCGGACCUUGCGCGAUUGAAUGAGCCGAUGUCGGAUUAGCUAGUUGGCGGGGUAAAGGCCCACCAAGGCGACGAUCCGUAGCUGGUCUGAGAGGAUGAUCAGCCACACUGGAACUGAGACACGGUCCAGACUCCUACGGGAGGCAGCAGUGGGGAAUAUUGGACAAUGGGCGCAAGCCUGAUCCAGCCAUACCGCGUGGGUGAAGAAGGCCUUCGGGUUGUAAAGCCCUUUUGUUGGGAAAGAAAAGCAGCAGGUUAAUACCCCGCUGUUCUGACGGUACCCAAAGAAUAAGCACCGGCUAACUUCGUG
rnacentral:rRNA from 1 species